rnacentral:snRNA from 1 species
CAACUUACUUGGCGCCGGGACCAAGAGGAUUACGAAUGCCUUGGCCUCAAGUGGGGGCUCGCCCUUGCACUCUGGCGGGUUGAAGCCUGCGACGAUCCCUAAUCGGGAUCUCUCGGACGCGCAGAUUUUGACAGUGGGGACGUCCUCGGACGAUCCCUU